CGGGGUCAUCGCUGCCGUUCUCUUCACUUUGACUGAUGUAUUUGAUUAACUGGCAUUACCUUCAGACUUUCUCAGGAGGAAUUAGGAGAGCUUUGAGGGGAGCAGAAAGAAGGAGAUGACAGACUUUCCAGAGGAUCCAACGAGCAAUGGUGGCAAGAGGGCAGAGUGGUGUGGCGCUGAGAGCUUUCCAGGCAGUGAAACAAGAGAGACGAUGAGUUUAACCAGGAGACUGAGCCAUGAGACCAGGAACUGUAGCACAAGACAGCAAGGACCAAAAACAGGGGAAAUCCAUCAUGACCAGAACGUCAGCAACAGAGGAUACCAACAGGAAGAAGAGGAAUGAAAUGAAACGAGGAAAAAAGCAGUGGAUCCAGACCACAGUAUCUAAAGGCUGAUGAUAUCCUCCUGCCAUCACACACGAGUGCAUCUCGAUAUUGGCUGCCAGCAGAGAGUCUGUGGGGUGCAUGUCAAUCCAGUUUUACCCACCGAAGGAUCCCUCUUCCCUCGUUUGCCACGAAAUUUCCAAAGAAUAUGAAUCAUCUUCCACCAAGAGCGGCUCCUUCUUUCCUUUCAGUGUGUUCUCUCCAUCGUUCCCAUUCAUCCUGUGUGCCGGAGAGGUCCGCAAGACUCAUUAGCACCCGCCUCUGUGUUUCAUGCCGUGUUUCCCCAAAGGCAUAACUAGCACCAUUAGCCCAGGCAGCAGUGAGAUUUCAAACUGCCUGGGCAGACGGAUGCCUUCCAAACCAAAGCAGUCAUGGUUUCCAAGAUUCUGCCUCCAGUUGGAUGUGAAUGCGGGGCGGACAUUCGGCGACAGCUCCCUCCCUUAGCCAUGCAGAAAGAGAAUCACCUGCUGAAAAUGGAGUGACUGCUUUUCAGAAUUCCCCCAGGUGAAGAACAAAGAGUAAUUCAUUUUUUCAAUCUGUCACGAAAAGGAAGAAAAAGUGAGACCAGAGACUUUAAAAGGCACGAAUUGGACUGGAGGCACAAUAUGGCUGAGGAGAUAAAGCUGAAAAAGAGCGAGAUAACCCUUUUGCUUGGCUAGUCUUUGUGACAGAGUGGGAAUAACCACAGCACAGGAUUGGUAACCAGCAUAAUUUCAGGUUAAACACAAAUACCCUCUCACUCAGUCCAGCGAAUAUAUAUAUAUAUAUAUCUAUAUAUAUCUAUACACAUUCAAUAAUGACAGAGUGAGCAGUCAUCUACCAUGUGCUGCAAAUGCUAUGCUGUAAAUAAGAUCUAAGAACAGUUCAGCUGUUCAGGGAAAAAUAUGCAAUAAUGGUUUUUCAUGACUGAUUUAUAGAAUAAUGGCUGUGUAAGUAAACAGCCGUUUGCAUCUGGCUGCUGCUUCUGGUUGAAAACAAAUCUAGUAAAUCGAUAUAAAAAAUCUGUUAGUCUGCCUCUGAAUAUUUUCUCAUUUCCAGACUACUUCAUGAGUGUAUGUGAGUGUACUCUGCACAUUAGUGUUUGAAAAUUGUUUCCUUAAAAAUGUAGGUUCUGUGUUUUGGAUAACGUCGCAAACAGGAAGAAAUUAGACUUUUUGUUAGUCGACUAUUUUCAGAUGGAUGGGGUCACUGAGAUGUCGUCCUUUGCCAUGAUGGAGUACUAUCAGCGAACACCAGCGAGCUUCAACAGACACACGCUCAUGUUGUAUAAUUAGCGCUAAAUAGUUAAACUAUUAA